rnacentral:rRNA from 1 species
UACCAGCACCCCGAGUGGUCGGGACGUUUAUUGGGCCUAAAGCAUCCGUAGCCGGUUCUACAAGUCUUCCGUUAAAUCCAACUGCUUAACAGGUGGGCUGCGGAAGAUACUAUAGAGCUAGGAGGCGGGAGAGGCAAGCGGUACUCGAUGGUGAGGGUAAAGUCCGUUGAUCCAUUGAAGACCACCAGUGGCGAAGGCGGCUUGCCAGAACGCGCUCGACGGUGAGGGAUGAAAGCUGGGGAGCAACCGG